rnacentral:rRNA from 1 species
AUGGCGGCGGUAGUGGUGCGCCGCCGCCUCGCCCUCGCCGGCGCCCCUCUUCUUCCCACCUACCGCCAGCUCGCCGCCGCCGCCAUCCCCAUCCCCAUCCCCAAGGUGAAUGAGGACGAGCAUUCGGGUGCUUUCCUGCGGUGGCUGCGGAGCAAGGCGGGGUCCGGCAUCUCGUCGGUGCUGCGCAUCGGGACCUCGCCCUUGGGAAGGUCCUUGUUCGCUUCGCAGCCCAUCCAGGAGGGGGACUGCAUACUGCAACUGCCUCACACUGCUCAGCUUACUCAAGAUAAACUUCCUCGAGAGGUCCGCCUGUUGCUCGACGACGAUGCUGCUGUUGCGGGAGACACAGCGGCCAAUGUAGCCGUGCUCCUUAUGAUGGAGCAGCGACUGGGACAUGAAUCGGGAUGGGCGCCGUAUGUUAUAUCUCUUCCGGCCAAGGAUCAGAUGCACAACAUGAUGUUCUGGGAUCUGGAUGAGCUUGAUAUGGUCCGACAUAGCCCGGUCUAUGAUGAAGCCAUCAAACAGAAGGAACAAGUCAGGAAACAAUUUUCAGCAGCAAAACCAGCUCUUGAACAUUUUCCACAUUUGUUUGAAGAAAUCAAGCUGGAGGAUUUCAUGCAUUCUUCUGCAUUGGUUUCAUCUCGAGCUUGGCAGACUUCUAGAGGUGUAUCACUGGUUCCAUUUGCAGAUUUCCUUAACCAUGAUGGUGCUUCUGAUUCUAUAUUAGUGUAUGAUGAAGAGAAAGCUGUUUCAGAGGUCAUUGCCGACAGGAAUUAUGCUGUUGGUGAACAGGUCAUGAUAAGAUAUGGGAAAUACUCGAAUGCCAUGCUAGCACUUAAUUUCGGAUUUACACUUUCCAGAAACAUAUAUGACCAGGCACAUAUUUGGAUAGAUAUGUCAGAGCAAGAUCCACUUUAUAAAAAGAAGCUUGACAUAUGGGAAAAGCACCGUACUCCAAAAUCUCAACACAUGUGCAGCUCUGGCUGCGCUAGAACUUCUUUUGCUAUAAAGGAAGUCAAAUACUCUGGAAACAAAGGGGUUGGGAUUCCACAGGCCUUGCGUGCAUUUGUUCGGAUUUUCUGUGCCACCUCAAUUGAAGAAUUGGAAGAGAUGGCCGUGGAGGCUGCUGAAAAUGAUGGCCGGCUUGCGAGGCGUCCUCUGAAGCAUGCGGAGAGAGAAGUCCAUGCUCACCGCAAGUUGCUUCUGCACCUCGACAACAUGAUUCAGGGUCAUUCUACAGCUAUUGAGCAACUUGAAACCAUUGAUGGCGCUGCAUCUAGGAGCAUGCAUCCGUUCAGAAAAGAGAUGGCUAAAAAUUUACUUGCCGGCGAGCUACAGAUUUUGCAGAGUGCUUAUGCAUGGGUUGCAAACUACUGUAAAACUGUGGCAUGUACAUGA